AUUGUCUUUCUGUUAUGUGCUGCUUUGGCUAUCAGUCUGAUUGUUAUAGCCUUCCUUGUUUAUGCCAUCAGGAAAAAAUCCUGUAAUUGUUGCAACGCUGCCACCACUCUGCAAACAAAUGCUGCAACAGCCAGUGGUAAUCAGCAAAGUCAACAGAGAAAUGAGGACACUUUGGUUUAUUGUACACCAGUCUUUACCAGGAGGAAAGCCGGCAACGCAGGAAGAAGGAAUAAAAGAAAGGAAGAGACGAUCUACACCGAUAUCAGGGCUUUUGUGAGGGAUCAAUAAUCCAAAUACUGAUUUGCUAAUUGGU